rnacentral:sRNA from 1 species
ACGCCAGUCGCGACCCCUUUAGUCCUACUCUCCCCGACAGGCCAAAUUUCCAAGGCAACUCAUGCUGUGGAGCGCUGAGCAAGCUCGUUACCGGCGUUGUUCUGCCCCGGUCGUCCCAUACGCCAGGGGCGUUUGUUU